GAUGAAGAACGCAGCGAAAUGCGAUACGUAAUGUGAAUUGCAAAUUCAGUGAAUCAUCGAGUCUUUGAACGCACAUUGCGCCCCCUGGUAUUCCGGGGGGCAUGCCUGUCCGAGCGUCAUUGCUGCCCUCAAGCACGGCUUGUGUGUUGGGCCCCGUCCUCCGAUCCCGGGGGACGGGCCCGAAAGGCAGCGGCGGCACCGCGUCCGGUCCUCGAGCGUAUGGGGCUUUGUCACCCGCUCUGUAGGCCCGGCCGGCGCUUGCCGAUCAACCCAAAUUUUUAUCCAGGUUGACCUCGGAUCAGGUAGGGAUACCCGCUGAACUUAAGCAUAUCAAUAGGCGGAGGA
rnacentral:misc_RNA from 1 species